rnacentral:tRNA from 1 species
ACCUGGCUGGCUCAGUCGGCAGAGCAUGCGACUCUUGAUCUCAGGGUUAUAAAUUCAAACACUAUGUUAGGUG